CAGCUACUGAAGCUUUUAAGGAGCUUUUUAUAUUUACCUGAGGCUGCAGGUGUGUAACCUGACGCUUGAUGUGUGCCAAUGUUGCUGUUGGCGGUGGAUGUAACGCCAUGUUUGCAAAUACAAGCCUUUCUUCAUAAUCAUAUUCACAAAGAAUUUUAUUUUCACAUAAAUAAAAUCUAUCUCCAACGCAGAACCUGAACACUUUGGAAGUUAAUUUGAUGGAAGAAGACUUAAAAAUCAAACUCGGAAAUCAACUAUUUAUUGAGCAACGCCCAAGAUUUGUUAGCAAACAACAAGAAACCAUAGAUGAC